rnacentral:rRNA from 1 species
GAUGAACGCUGGCGGCGUGCCUAAUACAUGCAAGUCGAGCGAACGGACGAGAAGCUUGCUUCUCUGAUGUUAGCGGCGGACGGGUGAGUAACACGUGGAUAACCUACCUAUAAGACUGGGAUAACUUCGGGAAACCGUAGCUAAUACCGGAUAAUAUUUUGAACCGCAUGGUUCAAAAGUGAAAGACGGUCUUGCUGUCACUUAUAGAUGGAUCCGCGCGGCAUUAGCUAGUUGGUAAGGUAACGGCUUACCAAGGCAACGAUGCAUAGCCGACCUGAGAGGGUGUGCGGCGACACUGGAACUGAGACACGGUCCAGAGGCCUACGGGAGGAGGCGUUAGGGAAUCUUCUGGAAUGGGCGAAAGCCUGACGGAGCUAGGCGGAGUGAGUGAGGAAGGUCUUCGGAUCGUAAAACUCUGUUAUUAGGGAAGAACAAAUGUGUAAGUAACUAUGCACGUCUUGACGGUACCUAAUCAGAAAGCCACGGCUAACUACGUG